UCAAGUUUCAAUUGAACCGAUAAAUCUAACCCAUCGUCUUCGCGACUUCUCGAGAGUUUCGCUAUAGAUUUGCUUCUCCGGCGAGGUGGGGUUUUCCGGCGAUCGGAGCGAUGGGGAAGAACGAGUUCCUGACGCCAAAGGCAAUCGCGAACAGGAUCAAGGCGAAAGGGCUGCAGAAGCUCCGGUGGUACUGCCAGAUGUGCCAGAAACAGUGCCGGGAUGAGAACGGAUUCAAGUGCCACUGCAUGAGCGAGAGCCACCAGCGCCAGAUGCAGGUAUUUGGUCAAAACCCUAAUCGUGUCAUCGAUGGUUACUCCGAGGAAUUCGAGAACGCGUUUAUGGACAAUCUCCGGCGAUCUCACCGCUUCUCUCGCGUUGCCGCCACCGUUGUCUACAACGAGUACAUCGCUGAUCGGCACCAUAUCCACAUGAACUCCACCCAAUGGGCCACCCUCACGGAGUUCGUCAAGUACCUCGGUCGCAUCGGCAAGUGCAAGGUCGAGGACACCCCCAAGGGUUGGUUCAUCACCUACAUCGAUCGCGACUCGGAGACCAUCUUCAAAGAUCGGUUGAAGAACAAGCGCCUCCGUGCUGAACUCGCCGACGAAGAGAAGCAGGAGCGCGCAAUCGCGCUUCAGAUUGAGCGUGCCUCAUCUUCAAACCCUAACCAGCCGCCUCCACCGCCGCCAUCCUCCGAUCCUGCCCCUAUUGAUCCUAAUGCGAAGGUCGCCUUCUCCCUCUCCAUGCAGACCACCAACAGCGAUACCGAACCAAAGCGGCCAAAAAUCGCGUUUGAUGAGGAUCCCGAACCGGAAAAGGCUGAGAAGAAGCGCACCGCCGGUGGAAGCGGAGCGAAAGGCGGCUCCUCCGCGUUGGAAGAGCUGAUCAGGGAGGAGGAGAAGGCCAAGGAGAGGAGCAAUAGAAAGGACUACUGGCUCUGUGAGGGGAUCAUAGUUAAGGUGAUGAGCAAAACAUUAGAGAGCAAAGGGUAUUACAAGCAGAAGGGAGUGGUGAAAAGAGUGAUUGAUAAGUAUGUAGGAGAGAUUGAGAUGCUGGAAAACAAGCAUUUGCUUAGGAUUGAUCAAGAGGAGUUGGAGACUGUAAUUCCGCAGAUUGGUGGGUUGGUGAGGAUUGUCAAUGGUGCAUACAGAGGAUCAAAUGCGAGGCUUUUGUCGGUAAACACAGAGAAGUUUUGUGCAAAGGUUCAGAUUGAGAAGGGAGCUUAUGAUGGGAGGGUUCUUCAGGCUGUGGAUUAUGAGGACAUCUGCAAGAUUUUAUAGUUUGCAGAUAACAUGGAGAAUUAAGAGUCUUUAUUUGAAAGGUUUUAAGAAGCCCUUUCUCUUUCCAUUAUCAUUGGAUUGAGGUUUUUUUUUUCCUCUAUAAAACAUGAUCAGUUCUUUUAGGUUGAUAUCUCCCGCAUGUGGAUCCAAGAAACAUGGGAAGCAAUCGAAGAGAAUUUGAUUAGAGUUGGCCAUGAGUUAAGUUCCAGAAUGCAAUGCUACGCUUGAAUUACUCCAACUGAUGCCUGUAAGCUUGCCUCUUUGUACUUCAUCAUGUAAAUGUCCGGUCACUGCCUUAUUUGAGAAGCUUUUGCCAUUGCA